GCCAGAUGUGAGCGGCCGCGGAGCCUCGAACGCUCCCAGUGCAUUUUAUCCAAACAGCAGCCGCCAAGGAUUAACUGUGUGUGUGCCCGGCUGGCAGGGGAGCGCCGAGCGCCGGUGCUGCCCUGCUCCUGGCCUCCCUCUCCCCUGGUCUCGCCAAUCCACCUGGAUGUCCUGCCUGCACUUUUUGUUUGGUCUGCACUCCUCCAGGCCUCUCCCUCAGGCUCCACCCAGACAGGAGAUGCUGGAAACAGGGACGCUGAGCCUCCUCCUUGCCUUGGAAUUCCUUCUCCACCUCUGCUCCGCACCUGUCUGCCUCGAAGGCUAAGAAAUUGAAACAGAAGGAGGAGGGUGUGCAUUUCGGACAUCCACCCAGCAUACCUUCGCACCAGGGUGAGUUGAGGACGGUGGAGAUGGAAGAAGAGCAAGGGUUCAGGGCUGUGGAGAGACCCUGGCAGCCAACCUGCCCCUGCGGGAGCAAAAGGACACAUGGUCCUGGUCCUCCGUGGCCCAUGGCAAGAUUAAGUAACUGUGUCGCCCCUGGGGAUGUGGCUUCAGCCACGUGAGGAGACUCGGAACCGCUCGCGAUCUUCAGCGUGUGUCUGAGGCUUGGCACACGCUCCAUCCCUGACGGGAAAACACAAAGAUAAGCGCGUCUCCUUUCCCGUGCGUAACUCGAGGGGCAUUUCCUGGUCAGCAAGACCCUGGCCCAGCACGCUGGCUGACCUCCGACCUUCCCUAAUUGCUCUGUCCCCAAACUACCUUCUCAGCAGGGAGAGGGCAAGAAGAAAACGGAAGGAGGCUGUGUCUUCACGCACCCCCUGCGGGACCUUUGUCCUCUUCGAGGCUGAAGGAUUCAGGUCUUUCUCAGAACUCCUGUGAACGGGGAAGUCCCUGAGGGCAGUGGGAAAGCUCGCUGUGGCCCUACCCAGGAGACUCAGGCCUGGGGAGGUCCUGGACCGAUACCAGAACUCAGCGCAGGGACACGCAGCUGGAAAGAAAAACCCUGGAGAUGGAAGAUGUGUUCUGCUCUCUUGCCCCAGGCUGCGCGAGACAGCUUUAGCGUCUAAGAACUGAAAGACAGCGACCUUUAACAUAAUUCCAAGACGUGCACUUGGAGGCCCCGUACACAGCAGAGCUCUAGAAACAUAGCCAAACAGCGAGCACCCCUUCUGGCGGCAGCUGGCUCGUCCUGACGGGAGGCUUUGCGUCCUCGGCCUGGGGUUGCUGCCCUCCCUUGGGGGCACCUCAGUCUCCUUGUCUCUGAAGCAGAGCUAGGUCCAGGAUCCCUCACCUGGAGCCUCUGAGGUCAGAUGUGUUCAGAGUGGGGUGCGAGUGUCACUAGAGCGUCUUCCCGGCCGGCUUUGGGCGGGGCCCCUUCAUCCGACGCUUGCGUUGUCUAUAGUGGGUUAAAUCAAGGCCAUUCCUAGUCUCACAGCCAUUCCAGUCACGUUGUUCUGUCAGACUCGUUCGUGCCAAAUUCAGGGGAACACGAAGUUUUCAGAGCCUUUUGCAUUUAGAGGAUUCGGGGUAAAGCGAGGGAGGACGUUCGUUUUAACUGUCAGUGUUGUAAGUGCCAUCUUCUCCCCUCUCUCCUCUUGGUUAGAGCCCCCAUGUCUCCCAAGAGUCAGAAAGAGGUUACUCAUUUUUCUUGAGGCAGAAACUUGGGGGUGGCCGUGAUACUCACCAUGGCGACAGAAGCCUGGGGUUUCCCAGGAUUUUUGUGAGAAGCAGAAGGCCCAGAGGCGUGGGAAGUCAGAGAAUGGGAAGGGAAUCUGAGUAUAUCUCGGGUGGUGCCACCAGGCCCACAACUCAAGCCAACAGGCAACCGGGCAAAGAGUCACGAGGCUAAGCUCCCGAAGAAAGCAAAGGCAGCCCUCAAGAAAAGAAAUAUUACGUCCUGCAAGCACGGAGCUAGCCGGGGCCCUGGUGGCCCUUGGUCGGGUACCUCCUCACUGCUUUAAAGUUGUAAGUAGGAAAGACGGCGGAUUUGGCAAUGCUUGGUUCUCUCCACUGUGGUCAUAGCCACCCCCACCAGCAACUGGGGAGGAAUGUUCUCAGCAAAGAUCUUGUUGGACAGCCCCAGCCAGUGCUAGGGACGAGAGUCGUGGCAAAAAAACACAAUGUUAACAAAUCAGAGCCCAAAGCCAGCAGUGGUGUCUGGGGAAGAUUUCAUCAGCCCUGCGAUGGGUCAGAGGCCAAGGCCAGUCAGAACCAUGAACCCCACCCCCCGAAGAGGUCUGUCUCUCAGGCUCCCAGGACAGCCUGUUGCAUGGUUGCAUGCCUAUUCUGGAAUUCCCUGGGAGCCCACACCUCCUACACAAGGAUGUCUGAGCCAGACUCCUUAAGUUCCCCUGGAUGUCCCCGAGUGGCUCCACGUUCUCAGAUAAGGGCAGCUCAUGGAUGUAAAACCCAGCAGCUCACCACGGGGGGAGGGGGGUCCAUUCCUGGAAUAUCCGCCUAGAGGCAGCACACUCCAUGCCCUCUGUGGUUUGGCAGUUCCGUCUCUCCUGGGCACGUCACGAAGCUCACUCUGUCUGUUUCCUCAUCAUUGGAAAAAACGACGUGACCUCGGUUAACGUCUCCAAGACGCUCAGUUCCAGAUAAGCCCAGCCCGUCAUUAGCGGCGCUGUGAUUUUUUUCCCACUUCGGCCCUAACGGUCUGCCUCUCCCGGCUAUUUUGGGCCGGGCUGCCCGACCAUCCCACUGUCAAGGGCAGAGACUGGUAUUGCAAACUUUUGAAUUCCAUUCCAAAGGGUAGCGACAGGCAGGCUCAGAUGGUGGCGUCCCACUGCCAAGGGAUGGGGGUGGGAGAGUCUCCGUGGAGAUUUGGAGAAGGAGCCGAGAUGGAAACUUGGCCGCCAGACCCAGCCUCCCUGGCCACCGGCCCACCCUCAUUGCUCCCCGAGGGCACUGCCGGUGUUCUGGAAGGCUCGGGGGCAGGUGGGACUCGGGCUGGCAGCUGCGAGGACAGAACAGGCUAAUCUGCUUUAGGGUCGUCAUCCUCGCACCCAGAGAGGACACUCCCGCUCCAAGGAGGAGUCAGCUCUGGACUCCAUGCAAAGACAGGUGGGCAGGGAUAAGAUUCUACACUUGCUAUUUUGUCUUUUUUUUUAACCCUUCCUGUGCUUUCAGACUCUAAUCAAGCCAUUUCAUGCCCCAUGCCUCAGCUUCUCCGUCUCUCAACGUCUACUGCCCUGUUUUGGGAAUUCCUUUUCAGCACUUGCAGUUACACGAAGACAGAGGACUAAUUAGGUAACACCACUUUACUGGAUGCACAAAAUGGGAGGGCCCCCUGGUGGACUGCACAGUUCUAAGCACCUAACUCUGAAAUGAAUGAGUCAAUCAGUAGGCACACGUAUGAAUGCUUAAAAUGAAGACUUUUUAGUCUUUUAUGCAGAAAUACAGGAGAUAAUUUCCAGGAGAAGGCCACGGUGAUGUCUCUGAUGAUGCAGAGAAGAUGAGGACAAGGAAAAUCAAAGGAAAACCUGGUUGGACAUGACUGUGGAGUCAUUGUUGACUGGCAAGAGAGCAACAUCAUGGCACAGCCUCCCGGGAAGGCAGCGUCUAUUCUCUAGAGGAUGCAAAUCCCCUUUGAUCUAGUCACCUUUCUUCUAAAAGUGUAUCCUAUGAUACACUUACACUUGUGCUCAAAUAACCAAGAUAUGCCCCAAAGCAUUGCUGUAAUGUAGAGAAAUCACAGACACCCUAAAAGGACAUCACAAGAAUCCUGGUAAAAUAAAUGACAGGACAUCACAUGGUGGAAUAGCACACACACAGCUCUUCAGAGAGUGAAGCAGCGUCCUAUAUAAUGAUAUGGAACAAGCAUUAAUGGGAAGUGAAAAAGUACAAACCCUAUUGAAAAACAUUAAAGAAGACCUAAGUCAAUCAGAAAAGCAUACCAUAAAAAAAAAUCUCAGUUCUCUCCCAAUUAAUCUACAGGCUCAAAGUAAUCCCAUUCCAAAUCUCAAGAAGUUGGGGUGGGUGGGAUGAAGGGGCUGGGGGAUUGCAACAUUUGAAGGCUUAUUAUAAAGAGGUGGUAAUGAGGACAGUUGUAUUGGAGCCACUGUGAAAAAUUAUACCAACACCACGUAAUAGAAAGUCCCCAAGCAGACUCAUGUGAACAUGGAAACUUGAUCUAUGACAAAACUUUGUAUCAGAUCAACUGAAAAGGACGGAUUUUUCCCUGAAAACAGCACUGAAGUUCUGUGGCAUCUGCGGAAGAGCAAUCUAACCAGAAAACAUAAGAAGUCACUCAGUAAUCAGGCAAUGAGAAAUCACUUCAUGCCAUCAGUUGGUGAUGUUAAUACACCUGAUAAUAUCUGUGACGUGACCCAAUCUCUCAGCCACUGCAGACAGUUUUAUUUCAUUUUUGUAAGUUAUAAUAGGCAUAUAUUUUAUUUAGGGAUACACACUUACUUGCUAAAAUUAUAAAAUAAAGCACGAGAAUGAUUAAUACAACA